UAGGUAUAAAUAUCACUUUUUCAUUAACUAUUCAUCCUUUAGUCAUUAAUUUCCAACCCUAGUUGCCUCAUCCAACUUCUCUCUUCUCUUCCUCUUCAAUUUUUAUUCUCUUCUCCUUCACUUUGCCGCUGCCCAAAACCCCUUUUUUGUCACCCAUCUUUUCUUCAUUAGCAGUGGACUUUUGUACCAUUUUCCUUCUCUUCAUUGCUAUAUUAUUCCCUUAAUUUUCCAGUCUUAAAUAUGAUAUUUUUAUCACUUGAAAGAAUACCUCCAUAGUUGCCACAAGGUUUACCAUUGUCGACCCUUAGAUAUGUCUCAAGUAAGUGUCUUAUUCUUCCAUUUUUCUUCUUAAUUUUUUAGUAUAAAAACUCAACAUUCUAGAUUUGGAAUUUUGGUGUUGAUUACUGAUGUAAAUGGUCAUUUUUCAGCCUUUAAAACACUCCUUUUGAGUUGCCCAAAGUUGUCCCCACAAUUGUCACCGUUGGUGGUGGUUGUGGCCCAAAAAUCUUUCCUUUUUGUGACUAUCGAUUUGAGUUUUAUUUAGUAAAGUAUGCUGCUGUUCCAGCCUUGAUUUUUUUUUCAAGCUUAAAACAGUCCCUUAUCAUCCUUUAAACAAAUAUUUUUGGUGUUUCUCAAAAUAGUCCCUUCGUAGCCAAUUUUGUUGAUGUGUUGCUCCUAGAUCUACCAUUAGGGGCUGCCGAUUUUUAUUAUUUUUACCACUUAUUUCCAGCAAGAUUUUAAUCUAAUAAACCACUUCCUAAUCAGCCUUUAAUCAUGUAUGAUUUAUGAAAAUUCAAUCUUAAUCGUUCGGCAACUCAGAUAUGACGAAUUGGGAAGCGUAAGUACGAUUGUUUGUAGGUUAUUGGGUAGUAUCGGUUCUGUUGUUAAGGGCUUUUUGGCUGGAUGAAUUGGGGUUAACUGUUGGUGUUUUAGCUAUUUAUUUUUAGUAUUUUAUUGUGUUAGGCGCUAAUUUAAAAACCCCGAAUCAGCAAUGAAGCCGUUAGUCAUUCACACGCACACUACACGAAUUUAAGGUUUUAGGGACGUUUUUUCCACAACCAAUCAGUAAGUUUUUUCCAUUUGUUUCUUGAGAAAAAUUAAAAAGAGUCAAGCGUUUUAUUUCAUUUUGUAUAUUAGGCUUUCAGAAAUUUCAGGGUCAAAGGAUAACAAUUUUAGGAGGUAUUUUCACUACACGGAAUGUUCAGAUCGAUUAAGUUAUACUUGUUUGGGGACUUCAUGAAUUCUGGGCUUUCGAUAAUGUGUUUAAUUUUCAGAAAAGUUACGAUGGAGACAAUUUGUUACUUGUAUGCCUAAGCUUAGCUUUGUGCUUGAAAUUUUAAUGCUUUAUAUGCCUAAAACCUUUGUAUAUGAUUUGGUGAAUCAACGAAUCGGAUGGACCAACUAUGACUGUAAGUGUCAAAAUGAACUUUCAUAUUAUACAUUAGAAUAGAUUUAUCCACUAAUCUCCAGUUUAACAACCUCCUAAAUCCUGUAAAACGACUUUUCCACCAUCACGUUGUUAAAAGGACAUAUUCAAUAGAAGCGGAAGAUGUUAAAAUUACAGAUUUCAAAGGUUUACUGUGAUUGACUGUAGUGUAAAUUACAUUCAUACAUGUUCUUUUUUUACGGUAAAUUUAUUUUAUACUAGCGUUCUUGCAUUUGUUACUUUAAGCCCUUCUUUUUUUCUUUUAAUUUUGUGUCAAUUUGUUAUACAGUUAAACUAUGCUAUAUAAAAUCUAAUGCGUCAUUUAAUAGUUAAAUAAACAAAUUUAGUAACAAAAUGACCUAAUUGAUAUAAAAUCUAAUCUUUGCCUUAUUAUUUAUUUGUUUAAUUAAUCUUUGCUCAGCCACAGUUCCUAUUAUUGAAUAAGAGAUAAACACAGUACAUGAGUUGUACCAAUAAGCUAUGAAUUUAAUUAUAAAUUUCAAGUGAAAUUCCAAUAAAUAUUACAAACAUAACUCUCUUAAAUUCAUCGAUUUUUCUAAUAACAACUUAACGUAUAAAUAUGAUUUUCUACUUUCAAAUGUUAUAUAUUUUUAACUAGUGUACAAUUUAUUAAUUUCUUAAUAUAAUACUUUUUCCUUAAACAACCAUAGAUCGUUAUCUUGUCAAUAGAUGUAUUAUCUCAACUUUAUGGCUUAAAUAUGAUUUGUCUUAUACCAUUUCCUUACAAUCAAAAUAUUAACCCAACUUUAUGGAAAAAAACUAGCUUCCUCUCCCUUGUUAAGUUUGUACUGCUGUUUGCAAUUUUUGAAUUAUUUAUUUAUAAAUUUAGAUUAAUUUAAUUAUAUGUUUAAGGUGAAAUUCCUUUCGUUAUGGAAAAUUUACUUCUCUCCAAACAUUUUCUCUUAUUGAUAACAAGUUAACAAGUAUAAUUUCAUCUUUCUUAUCUUUUCUUUUUUCUAUUAAAUUUAUGCAUUACAUAGUUAAAAUUGAAGUUAUCUCAAAUUUACAUUGAAAAAUAAUUGUAGUCAUUUCCUUUUAAUAGAUCAAAAUCUUAGAGUCUUUCUUAUGCAUCUAGAAAAUGCAAGAUGUUGUAAAAUAAAUUAAUCUAUCAUUUUAUUGCACUACAGCAAAAUUGACUUUUAGCGGCGUUUUUUAAGGUCUUUAGCUGCGCUUUUAAGCGCCGCUAAAACUAUUUGUGGCGUUUUUACAAGCGCCGCAAAAAAUGCCACUAUAAACGGGGCCACUAAAAUUUGUGACGUUUAUUAAAAAAAACGCCGCUAAAGGUCAUGACCUUUAACGGCGCUUUCCCCACAAACGCCACUAAAGGUCUUUACCCACAAACGCCGCUAAAGGUCAUGACCUUUAACGGCACUUUUCCCACAAAUGCCGCUUAAGGUCUUGACCUUUAGCGGCGCUUUUCCCAAAAACACCACUAAAGGUAAUGAAAUUUUAAAAAAAAAAAUUAUAAAAGUCAUGAAAAAUAUAAAAAAAAUUAAAAUUCAUUAUCAAAAAUAUUGAGAAGAAUAAUAUCCAUGAUAUAAAUAUAAAAAUUUUCUAUUAAAAUUCAUUAUCAAAUUAAAUUCUCUAUUAAAAUUUUAACUAAAAAUAUUAAAAUAAAAAUUUAGAAUCAAAACUAAAAUAAACAAUAAAAAUUAGAUUAAAUAUAAAGAUAUCAAUAAAAUAAGGACUUAAAUCAUAACCAUGUAAAAUAUAAGAUAUUAUCAUCAAGAUUUACAUCCUCAUCUUGCUCAAAUUUUGGUGGCUUGUACCUUGCCAAAAAGAACAUGCAGAAUUUCAACCAAAUAAGAUCAUUAGGGAAACACUUGAUAAGCUUCUAUCAAGCCUAGCAUAAGCAGGUUUUUUAAAGCUAAAUAAGCUCAACAUUGAGACAUGCUAAGCUCUUAACAUGCAAGCACAUGCCAUGGUUCAUUUGCAGCUCUACCUGACAAGGUUAAAUUAAAUUUAGACCUUCUAAAAAACCACCCUCCUGAAAAUGAGAGUUUUUAUCCAGAGACAUAAGCACAUAACUUUUAAACUCAUAACCUAUCUUUUUCACUUAAAUCUACAAAAUGCUUCUGCCCUUACCAUUACUAAACUGAAACCAGAAAACAAAUGUUCAAAAUUAACAUAAUGCUUUUUUGAAAACAAUAGAAUGCAAUUCCUCUAGCUCCUUAUCCCACCCACCAUCCAAGAAAACAGAAUAAAGUUUUUCCUUUUUGUUUUAUCAUCUUGUGGAAUGCUAUAAUUAACUUAACAGUCAUCUAAUUCAGGGACAGAUUUUAAAACAGAAUUAGACUUCUUGAAAACUGGGAAAAGAAACAAGGUCCACCUAGGCCCUUCAAGAUGCUGCCAACACUGUGUGAAUUGAACCAGGAUUCAGAACCCCCAGUAUUGCUCAAGCUCAAAUCCUUGGCAGUAUCCUUGCAGAUGCUACAAUAAAUUUCCAAACCUUCAACCUCCACAACUUUGCUCACCUGACCCAUUCUCAGCCUGCAUUAUAAGGUAAGAAAAAAUUUAUUUGAAAUUAGAGCUAAUUACGUAUCAAAUUAAGAAUCAGCAUUUGGACUUAAUUUUUGCAAAACUUAUGAAAAAGCGAAAGAAAACAAAAUGCAAAUUAAAUUUGCCAUUGGUUAGUGGAACUUCACAAAAUUAAUGCAGAACAAGGUAAAUUUCACAUGUAAGCCAAGCCACAACUAUUAUUGCCAUUAAGUUGAGGAAAUUCAAAUAACUUACUCCUUCAUGUCCCUAUGACAAAGUGGAAGAGAGUAUGUGUCUGUGAAAAUUACAAUGAAAAUCAAGAACAUUAUAGUAGACAUAAGAAAUUACCCAACCGAAUUUUGCUUUAACAUUGUCAAGCUAGAGAAUCUUAAACCAAAUAAAACCUGCUCCUGCAAAAACAUUUAAGUAAAUAAAUGUUUUAAAAUUUUAAAUCAAAUAAGUUGCAUAAUAACAUAACAAAGAGAAAUGUUAAUAUAAAACCUAAAAACAAUUUAAUGCCAAUUUUUAAGGAAAUUACAUAUGGUUCUAAAAUUCAAAACAAGUACUCCUAAAAGCAUCCAGACGUUAAAUCAAAUAAGUUGCAUAAUAACAUAACAAAGAGAAAUGUAAUUAUAAAACCUAAAAACAAUUUAAUGCCAAUUUUUAAAGAGAUUACAUAUGAUUCUAAAAUUCAAAACAGGGACUCCACAAAGCAGUCAGACACAGAUAAAGACAAUAGUUAUUAUAGAUGAUCAAGUAAGUGGUUCACAAGGAAAAUCUACAAUGGUUCCCUGGCUUACUAAGUCUACUUGCAUCCCUAGAAUAGAUCAUGAUUAGCAUGCAAGUAGACAUCCAUCUUCUUUAAUUUCUAUUUCUUGUAAUAAAUGGUAAAGUCCUAGAGCUAGAAUCACCAACAAGAAAAGAAAAGGGACAAUAAAGUACAAAAAAGAAAACAACAUAUAGAAGCAAUGCCAACAGACAUAAAAAUAAUCUUCAAAACAAAUGCAAACAACACAAAUAAAUGUAAGUGACUUAAACAGUAAUAGUUGCAAAGCAUCAGAUUUAUUAUAAUAAAUGGAGGAAAAAAAAACAAGAGUUACCAUAGAAGAAGCAUAAGGCAGGAGAAGAUGGUAUGCUUACUGAAUUUGAUUGCAUACCACUGUACAAAACAUGGAAAUUUCUAAUGGACACCUGGAUAUCCUCAAGAACCUAGAAGGAAAAAUGAAUUGUCAUGAGUAUAGAAUAGAAUACAUUCAAAAGUCAGAGCAGUGUAUUUGCAACAUGCAGAAACAGAAUCAGUGUCGUUUAUACUCAUUUAAACUUCUCAUUUUAGUAAAGGAUAAUACAAUUUUUAUACUUCUCAUUUUAGCAGCUUCUAUUUCAGCACGAAUGCAGUUACUCUCAGCAACUUCCAGUUUUGUUUUAAAUGCCAGAGAGGC
rnacentral:lncRNA from 1 species